rnacentral:misc_RNA from 1 species
GAUGAAGAACGCAGCGAAAUGCGACACUUGGUGUGAAUUGCAGAAUCCCGCGAAUCAUCGAGUUUUUGAACGCAAGUUGCGCCCGAAGCCAUUCGGCCGAGGGCACGUCUGCCUGGGUGUCACGCAUCGUUGCCCCCCCCAAACUUCGGUUCGGGCGGGGCGGAAGUUGGCCUCCCGUGCGUGCCUGCGCGCGCGGUUAGCCCAAAAGCGAGUCCUCGGCGACGAGCGCCACGACAAUCGGUGGUUUUUUUACCCUCGUUCCUCGUCGUGCGUGCCCCGUCGCCCGAACGCGCUCUUGCGACCCUCACGCGUCGCCUCGGCGGCGCUCCCAACGCGACCCCAGGUCAGGCGGGACUACCCGCUGAGUUUAAGCAUAUCAAUAAGCGGAGGA